UGAGCAGGCUGUACGGUAGCGUGAACGUUAAGUUUAUGAGGAAAGUCCGAGCAUCGCAGAGCAGGAUAGCUGAUAACGUCAGCCGAGGGCGACCUCCGAGCAAGUGCAGCAGAGAUAUACCGCCGGAAUUUUCCGGUAAGGGUGGAAAGGCGGGGUAAGAGCCCACCGGAGCGUCAGAGAUGACGCUGCUAUGUAAACCUUAUCCGAUGCAACACCAAUGGUAGCCGAAAAGUCAAUGGCUGCUCGUCAGAUUUCAGGCUAUAGGUGGCUAGAGCCGUAUGGCGACAUACGGAGUAGAUAGAUUACCGUACUCGACAAAACUCGGCUUAUAGGCAGGCUCACAUU
rnacentral:RNase_P_RNA from 1 species